AGGGGAGGAUUGGAGACUGAAAUCCUCUGGUUUCCCACAGAACAAAGCAGCAGCACUGCACGCUUCCCCACGCACACUGCCCUGUGUGCCUGAAAUCUGGACCUGGUAGGUACUGCCUGGAGGGGAUGAGAGGCCAAUUCAGUUUCUAAGUCCAUUCUGUCCUUGGCCUCU
rnacentral:sRNA from 1 species